GAUCCUGGCUCAGGAUCAACGCUGGCGGCGCACAUAAGACAUGCAAGUCGAACGGACUUAAUCGAAAUAUUUAUAUUUUGAAGCGGUUAGUGGUGGACUGGUGAGUAACGCGUAAGGAACCUGCCUAUUAGAGGGGAAUAACAGUGAGAAAUCAUUGCUAAUACCGCAUAUGCCAUAGAUAUCACAUGAUAACAGUGGGAAAGGAGCAAUCCGCUAAUAGAUGGCCUUGCG
rnacentral:rRNA from 1 species